AUGAACGCUAGCGGCAGGCCUCACACAUGCAAGUCGAGGGAGAAGCCCUUUCGGGGGCAGAAACCGGCGCACGGGUGCGUAACGCGUAUGCAACCUACCUUUCACAGGGGGAUAGCCCGAAGAAAUUUGGAUUAAUACCCCAUAAUAUUAUUGGAUGGCAUCAUUUGAUAAUUAAAACUGCGGUGGUGAAAGAUGGGCAUGCGUCCUAUUAGCUAGUUGGAGUGGUAACGGCACCCCAAGGCUACGAUAGGUAGGGGUCCUGAGAGGGAGAUCCCCCACACUGGUACUGAGACAGGGACCAGACUCCUACGGGAGGCAGCAGUGAGGAAUAUUGGUCAAUGGUCGGAAGACUGAACCAGCCAUGCCGCGUGCAGGAAGAAUGCCUUAUGGGUUGUAAACUGCUUUUAUAUGGGAAGAAUAAGGUGUACGUGUACAUUGAUGACGGUACCAUAUGAAUAAGCAUCGGCUAACUCCGUG
rnacentral:rRNA from 1 species